rnacentral:ncRNA from 1 species
ACAAAUUCGUUGAUGAGAAAGAGUAGCGUUACAUCUUAUUCCCUAGAGAGCUGACAGAUCGGUGCAAGUCAGUGUUUAAGUGUAAUGUGAAGAUCCUCUCUGAGAAGAUAGUCUGAAGAUUCAGUAGGUCUAUCCGGGUGUCCGCCGUUAAAAGGAACACGUAUGAUUGUACGUUGCUGAGUGCUAUUGAGCGGUUUUCAAUAGAAUUAGGGUGGUAUCGCGGUUAACCCCGUCCCUUAC